UACAGAGGGGGCAAGCGUUGUUCGGAAUUACUGGGCGUAAAGGGCGCGUAGGCGGCCUGCUAAGUCGAACGUGAAAUCCCCGGGCUCAACCCGGGAACUGCGUCCGAUACUGCCUCGCUUGAGUCCGGGAGGGGAGAGCGGAACUCCUAGUGUAGCGGUGAAAUGCGCAGAUAUUAGGAAGAACACCGGUGGCGAAGGCGGCUCUCUGGAACGGUACUGACGCUGAGACGCGAAAGCGUGGGGAGCAAACAGG
rnacentral:rRNA from 1 species